GAUGAGCUCGCGGCGGAUUAGCUAGUUGGCGGGGUAACGGCCCACCAAGGCGACGAUCCGUAGCUGGUCUGAGAGGACGAUCAGCCACACUGAGACUGAGACACGGCCCAGACUCCUACGGGAGGCAGCAGUGGGGAAUAUUGGACAAUGGGCGCAAGCCUGAUCCAGCCAUGCCGCGUGUGUGAAGAAGGCCUUAUGGUUGUAAAGCACUUUAAGCGAGGAGGAGGCUACUGAAGUUAAUACCUUCAGAUAGUGGACGUUACUCGCAGAAUAAGCACCGGCUAACUCUGUGCCAGCAGCCGCGGUAAUACAGAGGGUGCAAGCGUUAAUCGGAUUUACUGGGCGUAAAGCGCGCGUAGGCGGCUAAUUAAGUCAAAUGUGAAAUCCCCGAGCUUAACUUGGGAAUUGCAUUCGAUACUGGUUAGCUAGAGUGUGGGAGAGGAUGGUAGAAUUCCAGGUGUAGCGGUGAAAUGCGUAGAGAUCUGGAGGAAUACCGAUGGCGAAGGCAGCCAUCUGGCCUAACACUGACGCUGAGGUGCGAAAGCAUGGGGAGCAAACAGGAUUAGAUACCCUGGUAGUCCAUGCCGUAAACGAUGUCUACUAGCCGU
rnacentral:rRNA from 1 species